rnacentral:lncRNA from 1 species
UGUCGCGGGUUUAUAUACCCUUUGGGCACUUAACCGACUGUGCCAGCCCAGUCCCAUACCUGUCAAGAAAAUUCAUUGUCUUACAUCGUCCUUAAAUUUUAUUCGUGUUAUAGUCAAUAUAUACAUAUUUUUACCUAAUAUACAUCCGCUUUCUAGGUUUCUACUUAGCGCUGCUGAGACUGAGUCUAAAUGAAAAAACAUUAUCAAUGGAUUCUAACAAUAAAUCAUAUUUUAGAUUUUUAAAGAAAAAAACCCAGCUUGCUCCACAGAACCAGAUAUCAGAGGCAGGAAUGCCACAGUUACAUUCCUAGGACUUGGUCAAUGAGAAGACAGAUUCCAAAAAUACAGUGCUGGGAAGUUGGAAAAAAGCCACAGAUGACGCUUCCAGUCAAGACAACCUGUGGCAACUGAGCUGAUUUCUGUAGAAGGCUAUAAUGACCCAAUGGGCCACCAGUUUGAUAUUUGAUUCUGAACAAUUUAUUCACCAAGAAUGGCUGCCUGAAUGAGAGGCACAAAACCAUUAUCCUUUUGGCUGCAAUGGAAUGAGAGUCCUGUUGAGAAAAUGGAAGUGGUACCCAGAAUCAGUCAAACUCCAAAUGGUGCUGCAAACUGAACCACACAUGGACACGCCGUUCUGAGGACCUUUAGAUCAACCCCAGGAGAAGUCUUAGAUGCUGUUCCCCAUUCAAUGCCCCUUUUCAGCAGGAAGUAGCCAGAUAGAGUUGUCACCCAGAACCCCCUAACAGCCGUUGGGGUGAUAUCUCCACAGGGAGAAAUGAGUUCUGGAGGCUGGGAAUUCCAAGAUCAAGGCACCAGCAGACCCAGUGUUUGGAGGGCUCACUUCUUCAUUGUCUUUUCAUCAUAGCCUCACGUGGAAGAAAAGGUAAGGGAUUUCUCUGGGA